rnacentral:rRNA from 1 species
AAGGAGCCUGAGAAACGGCUACUACAUCCAAGGAAGGCAGCAGGCGCGCAAAUUACCCAAUCCCGACACGGGGAGGUAGUGACAAUAAAUACUGAUACAGGGCUCUUUUGGGUCUUGUAAUCGGAAUGAGUACAAUUUAAAUCCCUUAACGAGGAACAAUUGGAGGGCAAGUCUGGUGCCAGCAGCCGCGGUAAUUCCAGCUCCAAUAGCGUAUAUUAAAGUUGUUGUGGUUAAAAAGCUCGUAGUUGAACCUUGGGCCUGGCUGGCCGGUCCGCCUCACCGCGUGCACUGGUCCGGCCGGGCCUUUCCCUCUGCGGAACCCCAUGCCCUUCACUGGGUGUGGCGGGGAAACAGGACUUUUACUUUGAAAAAAUUAGAGUGCUCAAGGCAGGCCUAUGCUCGAAUACAUUAGCAUGGAAUAAUAGAAUAGGACGUGUGGUUCUAUUUUGUUGGUUUCUAGGACCGCCGUAAUGAUUAAUAGGGACAGUCGGGGGCAUCAGUAUUCAAUUGUCAGAGGUGAAAUUCUUGGAUUUAUUGAAGACUAACUACUGCGAAAGCAUUUGCCAAGGAUGUUUUCAUUAAUCAGGAACGAAAGUUAGGGGAUCGAAGACGAUCAGAUACCGUCGUAGUCUUAACCAUAAACUAUGCCGACUAGGGAUCGGACGAUGUUACAUUUUUGACGCG